rnacentral:rRNA from 1 species
GAUGAACGCUGGCGGCGUGCCUAAUACAUGCAAGUCGAGCGAACAGACCACGAGCUUGCUCCUUUGACGUUAGCGGCGGACGGGUGAGUAACACGUGGAUAACCUACCUAUAAGACUGGGAUAACUUCGGGAAACCGGAGCUAAUACCGGAUAACAUGUUGAACCGCAUGGUUCAACAGGGAAAGACGGACUUGCUGUCACUUAUAGAUGGAUCCGCGCCGCAUUAGCUAGUUGGUAAGGUAACGGCUUACCAAGGCAACGAUGCGUAGCCGACCUGAGAGGGUGAUCGGCCACACUGGAACUGAGACACGGUCCAGACUCCUACGGGAGGCAGCAGUAGGGAAUCUUCCGCAAUGGGCGAAAGCCUGACGGAGCAACGCCGCGUGAGUGAAGAAGGUCUUCGGAUCGGAAAACUCUGUUAUUACGGAAGAACAAAUGUGUAAGUAACUAUGCGCGUCUUGACGGUACCUAAUCAGAAAGCCACGGCUAACUACGUGCCAGCAGCCGCGGUAAUACGUAGGUGGCAAGCGUUAUCCGGAAUUAUUGGGCGUAAAGCGCGCGUAGGCGGUUUUUUAAGUCUGAUGUGAAAGCCCACGGCUCACCCUUGGAGGGUCAUUGGAAACUGGAAAACUUGAGUGCAGAAGAGGAAAGUGGAAUUCCAUGUGUAGCGGUGAAAUGCGCAGAGAUAUGGAGGAACACCAGUGGCGAAGGCGACUUUCUGGUCUGUAACUGACGCUGAUGUGCGAAAGCGUGGGGAUCAAACAGGAUUAGAUACCCUGGUAGUCCACGCCGUAAACGAUGAGUGCUAAGUGUUAGGGGGUUUCCGCCCCUUAGUGCUGCAGCUAACGCAUUAAGCACUCCGCCUGGGGAGUACGACCGCAAGGUUGAAACUCAAAGGAAUUGACGGGGACCCGCACAAGCGGUGGAGCAUGUGGUUUAAUUCGAAGCAACGCGAAGAACCUUACCAAAUCUUGACAUCCUCUGACCCCUCUAGAGAUAGAGUUUUCCCCUUCGGGGGACAGAGUGACAGGUGGUGCAUGGUUGUCGUCAGCUCGUGUCGUGAGAUGUUGGGUUAAGUCCCGCAACGAGCGCAACCCUUAAGCUUAGUUGCCAUCAUUAAGUUGGGCACUCUAAGUUGACUGCCGGUGACAAACCGGAGGAAGGUGGGGAUGACGUCAAAUCAUCAUGCCCCUUAUGAUUUGGGCUACACACGUGCUACAAUGGACAAUACAAAGGGUAGCGAACCCGCGAGGUCAAGCAAAUCCCAUAAAGUUGUUCUCAGUUCGGAUUGUAGUCUGCAACUCGACUACAUGAAGCUGGAAUCGCUAGUAAUCGUGGAUCAGCAUGCUACGGUGAAUACGUUCCCGGGUCU